UAUUUUAUAUAUUUAAUUAUAUAAUUUAAUUUUUUAUAUAUUUUAUAGAAAUAACUUUUAUUUUAGUAAUUUUUAGUGAAUUAAUAAUUUUAAUUUUAUAGUUAAUUUUACUGUAAAGGAAUAUAUUAAAAAUAUUUUAAGUAAAAUUUUAUUUUUGUACCUUUUGUAUCAGGGUUUAUUAAAAUUAUAUAAUUAUUUAUUAGUAAUCCCGAAAAUAAAAGAGAUAUUUAUAUUUGUUAGUUAAUGUAUUAAAUUUAUUAAUUAAAUAUAAAUAGGGGUUAUAUGCUAUUCAAUUUUAUAUAUCUGGUUUUUUAAUAAUUGAAUUUAAUUCAGGAUUAAAUGUUAUAUUAUAUAAUUUAAUUUAUAUUUAAUAUUUUAAUCUAAAAUUAAUAGGGAUAAGCUUAUUAAUUAAAUUUAUAAUCUAAUAUUUUAUUUAAAUUUUGUAGGAUUAAAAAUUUCCAUCAUUUAUUUUGUUAUAAUUAAUUUUAAUUUAUAUUUUAUUUUAAUUAGAUUUAAAUUUAUAUUAAAAAUAAUUAUUUAAUUAAAUAAAUAAUUGUUAUAAUGAUAAAAUUAGUAAAUUAUUUAUAAUUAAUAUAUAGUAAUUCGGCAAAAUUAUCCUUCACCUGUUUAACAAAAACAUGUUCUAAUGUUUAAAUUUUAUUAGAUUUGACCUGCUCAAUGAUAAUUAAUUAAAUAGCCGCAGUAUUUUGACUGUGCGAAGGUAGCAUAAUCAUUUGUCUUUUAAUUGAAGGCUUGUAUGAAAGGUUGGAUGAGGGGAUAACUUUCUUUAUAUUAAAAUAUUGAAUUUAAUUUUUAAGUUAAAAAGCUUAAAUUUUUAAAAGGGACGAGAAGACCCUAUAGAAUUUUAUAUUAUUUAUAAAUUUAUUAUUUUGGUUAAUUAUUGUAAUAAUUUUAUAAAUAAUAUUUUGUUGGGGUGACAGUGAGAUUUAUUAAACUCUUAUAAUUUAUAUUAUUGUUGAUUGACAUAUUUAUGAUCCUGAUUAUUUGGAUAAUUAGAUUAAAUUACCUUAGGGAUAACAGCGUAAUUUUUUUGGAGAGUUCAUAUCGAUAAAAGAGUUUGCGACCUCGAUGUUGGAUUAAAAUUAAUUUUAAGUGCAGAAGCUUAAUUUUUUAGGUCUGUUCGACCUUUAAAUUUUUACAUGAUCUGAGUUCAGACCGGCGUGAGCCAGGUCGGUUUCUAUCUUUUUUUAUAUUUAUGUAAAUUAGUACGAAAGGACCAUUUACUUCAAUUAUAUUGUUCAUGUUUGAAUAUUUAUAA
rnacentral:rRNA from 1 species